GUUAUGGAUAUAUCAUGGGGUAUAGGAUGGUACAAAUGUAAGGGAAACACUUUGGAAAUGAUGCCAGUGUUAUGUCAGGUAAGGAUGCCGAGUAAAAUCUCUUAUUUAUUAAUUAAGGACUGUUGUUGCCAUGUACUUCGCAUAGAGGAAAUUCGGGUUCCCGUAUAUAAAUCUAUACGAUAUGAAUGUACAAAGAUUCUUUACAUAUUUAAGUUGAUCAAAUGAUGAUUAAGUUCAUCAAUACAUAUUUUAUUAUUGAUAGUUGCACACAAUCUAAUUUUGGACUAGCCGUUACAUAUGGAAGUAUCUUCGGGUAGUGUAGAUUCAAUUAAGUUUGCUCAAAUCAUUAACCCCAAGGGUGGGACCACAAUGGGGGAUCAAAGUUUUACAAAGGAAUAUAUGAUCGAAAAAAAUAUGCUGAUAAAGAAUAGCAAGGACAUAUUGACUCAGGUGAGUGUUGUGGCCCAUGGGACUCUCGUUUGGAUUCAAAUGAUAGCCUCCAAGAUGGGACCACAAUGGGUUCAAAAUUUAACACAGAAUUACAUAUAGAAUGAUUUCUUUUAAAAAAUUUCUGCUGAAAGAAAUUGUGCACAAGUAGUCAAAUUGAUUCGUAUUUGAGACCUCAGCACUUUUGGGUGUUGAUUUAUAUUUAGUUUUUUAGAAUAAGUGUGCUUUGGUCUGCCAUGUAUAUAAGAGGUCUAAACCUAAUUUAUGGCUAGUAGCAAUACAUAUAUAUAGCAGAUUCAAUGUCAUUUUGUGAAAAGUUGGAUUAAAUAACUUUAACCAUAUAACAUAAAAUUACAGAAACCUGCCACAAGGAAAGUAAAAACAUCAAUGAAAAUAAGCAUUGGGUGGUUGCACUUUGACAUUGAGAGGAACAAGUACAUUCGAGUAAAACUGAAAACUGGUGGUGGAAGUAGAACAGUGGAUAUGCCUGUGGAAUCAUCAUACAAGGAGAUACUUGAAAAGGCCUUCAACAUAUUUUUUCCAGCAGGGAAAUCACCCAAAGGAAGGAUUGACAAAUUUUCUUGUGUCCUUGGAAAUUUCACCCAAGAUUUGAUAAAGGAAGAUGGCUUCAGUUUGCAACAAUAUACAGAAACAUCCUGCCUUUCAAACAAACCAAGAAUAUAUCUGAUGACAAAGAAAAAAACUGAAGAGGAGGUUUGUC